rnacentral:rRNA from 1 species
CCUACGGGGGGCAGCAGUGAGGAAUAUUGGUCAAUGGACGAGAGUCUGAACCAGCCAAGUAGCGUGAAGGAUGACUGCCCUAUGGGUUGUAAACUUCUUUUAUAUGGGAAUAAAAUGUUCCACGUGUGGGAUUUUGUAUGUACCAUAUGAAUAAGGAUCGGCUAACUCCGUGCCAGCAGCCGCGGUAAUACGGAGGAUCCGAGCGUUAUCCGGAUUUAUUGGGUUUAAAGGGAGCGUAGGUGGAUUGUUAAGUCAGUUGUGAAAGUUUGCGGCUCAACCGUAAAAUUGCAGUUGAAACUAGCAGUCUUGAGUACAGUAGAGGUGGGCGGAAUUCGUGGUGUAGCGGUGAAAUGCUUAGAUAUCACGAAGAACUCCGAUUGCGAAGGCAGUUCACUGGACUGCAACUGACACUGAGGCUCGAAAGUGUGGGUAUCAAACAGGAUUAGAUACCCGUGUAGUC